rnacentral:rRNA from 1 species
CAAGGAAUAUUGGUCAAUGGGCGCAAGCCUGAACCAGCCAUGCCGCGUGCUGGAAGACGGCCCUAUGGGUUGUAAACUGCUUUUAUCAGGGAAUAAACCCCCGCUCGUGAGCGGGGCUGAAGGUACCUGAAGAAUAAGCAUCGGCUAACUCCGUGCCAGCAGCCGCGGUAAUACGGAGGAUGCAAGCGUUAUCCGGAUUCAUUGGGUUUAAAGGGUGCGCAGGCGGAUUGGUAAGUCAGGGGUGAAAUCCCACAGCUCAACUGUGGAACUGCCUUUGAUACUGUCAGUCUAGAGUAUAGUUGAAGCGGGCGGAAUGUGUCAUGUAGCGGUGAAAUGCUUAGAUAUGACACGGAACACCGAUCGCGAAGGCAGCUCGCUAAGCUAUAACUGACGCUCAUGCACGAAAGCGUGGGGAUCAAACAG